CCUAACACAUGCAAGUCGAACGAAGCUCGAUGCUUUGAGUUUUCGGACAAGAAGCAAAGAUGACUUAGUGGCGAACGGGUGAGUAAUGCGUGAGCAACCUGCCUUUCAGAGGGGGACAACAGUUGGAAACGACUGCUAAUACCGCAUAACAUAUUGAGUAGGCAUCUACUUGAUAUCAAAGGAGCAAUCCGCUGAGAGAUGGGCUCACGUCUGAUUAGCUUGUUGGUGAGGUAACGGCUCACCAAGGCGACGAUCAGUAGCCGGUCUGAGAGGAUGAACGGCCACAUUGGGACUGAGAUACGGCCCAGACUCCUACGGGAGGCAGCAGUGGGGAAUAUUGGGCAAUGGGCGAAAGCCUGACCCAGCAACGCCGCGUGAAGGAAGAAGGCUUUCGGGUUGUAAACUUCUUUUAUCAGGGACGAAGUAGUGACGGUACCUGAUGAAUAAGCUCCGGCUAACUACGUGCCAGCAGCCGCGGUAAUACGUAGGGAGCAAGCGUUGUCCGGAUUUACUGGGUGUAAAGGGCGCGU
rnacentral:rRNA from 1 species